GACGAACGCUGGCGGCGUGCUUAACACAUGCAAGUCGUACGGUAAGGCCCUUUCGGGGGUACACGAGUGGCGAACGGUUGAGUAACACGUGAGUAACCUGCCCACAACUUUGGGAUAACGCUAGGAAACUGGUGCUAAUACUGGAUAUGUGCUCCUGCUGCAUGGUGGGGGUUGGAAAGCUCCGGCGGUUGUGGAUGGACUCGCGGCCUAUCAGCUUGUUGGUGGGGUAGUGGCCUACCAAGGCGGCGACGGGUAGCCGGCCUGAGAGGGUGACCGGCCACAUUGGGACUGAGAUACGGCCCAGACUCCUACGGGAGGCAGCAGUGGGGAAUAUUGCACAAUGGGCGCAAGCCUGAUGCAGCAACGCCGCGUGCGGGAUGACGGCCUUCGGGUUGUAAACCGCUUUCAGCAGGGACGAAGCUUUUUGUGACGGUACCUGCAGAAGAAGCACCGGCUAACUACGU
rnacentral:rRNA from 1 species